CCCUUAGAUGUCCUGGGCCGCACGCGCGCUACACUGAACGGAUCAGCGCGUUUUCCCUUCCCGAGAGGGACGGGUAACCUGCUGAACCCCGUGCGUGGUAGGGAUCGGGGCUUGCAAUUAUUCCCCGUGAACCAGGAAUGCCCAGUAAGUGCAAGUCAUAAGCUUGCGUUGAUUACGUCCCUGCCCUUUGUACACACCGCCCGUCGCUACUACCGAUUGAACGUUUUAGUGAGGUACUCGGACUGAGCCUCAGAAGAUUCACGUCUUUUGUGCUGCUCGGGAAGAUUCCCAAACUUGAGCGUUUAGAGGAAGUAAAAGUCGUAACA
rnacentral:rRNA from 1 species